GUGUGUGUAUACCUCUUUCUCCAGGCCCAAUCACCUCCACCUGGUGGGAGGGAGAUGUGAGGGUGGGACUCAGAAGCCAGAGCCUAAGCCCACCCCACUCCUUGGGCAGAAGUAAGUGUGUGUGUGUGUGUGUGUGUGUGUGUGUGUGUGUGUUGUGUGUGUGUGUGUGUGUGUGUGUGUGUGUGUGUGUGUGUGUGUGUGUACCUCUUUCUCCAGGCCCAGCCUCUUCGUGUAGGCAGCUUCUCGGAAGCACUCCAUGCACACAGCGGUGAGCUUCACCACACUCUCCGCCAGGGGCACCAGGUUCAAGAUGCUGCCGAAAGCCUGCACGGAAGACAGCAGGUGUGUGCGGUCAGUUAGCCAGGCACCUCCCUCCUCUGCCUGUGUUCACAUGUGUAUGUGUGUGGGGGCCAGAGAGCAACGUCAGGAGCUGUGCCUCUGCACUGUCUACCUUGGUGCUUUUGGAAACGGUCUCUCACUGGCUUGGGGCUUGCAGUGUAGACUAGAUCAGCUUGCCAGUAAGCCGCUAAGAUCUGCCUGUCUCUGUCUCCUGGUGAUAGCAUUUUAAAGAGUCCUGAGGAUCUAACUCGAGCCUGUGUGCUUUGCAAGGCAAGCAUGCUUCAGCUUGAGCUCUUCCCACCGCCAACGCUUCUCUUUUAAACCCCAUGAUUCAGGCUACAUCAUACUUUACUGAUCCUGCUUUCUUGAGAGCCACACCCUCCUGCUCUCUACCCUUUGGCCAGUUCAGAGCACCCACUAGCCAAUAGCUUCUAUUCUGAACACACCUACUUCUGGGGAGACCUUGUAUAUUGUUUCCUGCCUCAGGAUCCUCUGCCAAGCCAGAGUCAGACAUCUUUACCUUCCUCUGGAAGGUCCCAUCCAGCGCUGCCACAAUUACUGUCUUGCCCUCGUUGGCCAUCAUUUCACAGAAAUCCACAAUGUCAGGAAACUGGGAAAAGUCCAGAGGAUGAGGUGAGCUGCCCCAGGCAAGGGCCUCACGAAGACCGUGGGGGAGCUGAGCAUGCAGGUAAGCCCAGAGCCGGAGACCAGACCACACCGCCAGUCCUGUUAAGACAUCCCACCCACUUGCCCACUGCUACCCAGAGCUUGCCAGCAGGCUCCAUCCAGCAUCUGAGAGAGGCCUCUACACACCAGAGAGGCUGGAACAGCAGCUCUCAACUUGCAGGUCACGACCCCCGGGGGCUGAACGACCCUUUCUUUCACAGGGGUCACAUAUUAGAUAUUUGCAUUAUGAUUCAUAACAGCAGCAACAUCAUAGUUAUUAAGUAGCAACAAAAAUAUAUAGAAUAGAGUUUAUUUAGGCCAUGAGGAGGGGAGUUGAGAGAGUAGCAGAGGCAGAGAAAAGCAGAAAGGAGAGAAUAGAGACAUGGGGGCCGACCAUGACCAUGUGGAGAGUGGGGGAAGGGAAUGGGGAGCAAGGGGGUGAGAGGCAAGAGUGUAAGAAACAAAAAUAAUCUUCUGGCUGGGGUCACCACACGAGGAACUGUAUUAAAGGUCUCAGUUAGGAAGGUUGAGAGCCACCAGGCUAGAACUUUCCCCUACAGUUCCUGGAAGGAAGCGGCCCUGCCAACACCAAGGGUCUCUUCCUUCCAGAACGGUCAGUGCACAAAGCUCUGGGCUUAAAGUCCUUGCUGACUUCUGUUAGGGCAGACUUAGAAGCUAAACACAGCUCAUGUUUAAAAUGGGCUUUCAGAGAGAGAACUCGGGGUGGACGGCAGGAAAGAGCACGUGCCACUCUUGCAAAGGACCCAGUUGCCAGGGCCACAUGGUCACUUACAACCAUAUGUUAAUUUCAGCUCCAGGGGCCCUGGUGACCUCUUCUGGCUUCUAUGGACACUGCACACAUUUGAUAGACAUACAUAUAAAAAUAGCAAACACUCAUACAUUUCAGGAGCAGACCAGGUAGCUCAGUUGGUAGAAGAGAGCUUACCCAGUGUGCAUGAAGCCUUGGGCUCCACCCCCAGCAAUAAAUGAACCAGACACAGUGUCCAACACCAUAAUACCAGUACUUUGAAGGUAGAAGGAUUACAAAGUUCAAAGCUAUGAGAUCCUGUCCCAAAACAUACAGGGCUGGGGAGAUGGUUCAGCAGUUAAAAGUAUGACUCGUUCCUAUAGAUUACCAGAAUUCAAUUCCCAGUACCCACAUCAGAUAGCUUAGCUCCAAGGGAUCUAAUAUCCUCUUUUGGCCUCUGCAGGCACCCAUAAACACGCACACGCACGCACGCUCUUCAGCCCCCAUGGACGGGUGGAGGGAGAGCCUAAGUGAAAACCCAGAGAAUAAGCACCAUGAGGUUACACUGGCAUUUUCCCACCAAGAAAUCCCACGUGAGAGAGAAUGGCUCUUGGCAAUGAGAUGUGCGAGGCAGGAGCAGGUUGGCAGGGAUAGCUGCCCUCCGGGGUCACUCAGGCCGGCCAACCUUCAAUAGCACAGUGUCUCCCUAGAAUCAAGACCCAGGCUUCUCUCCCCUGCCCAGCAAGGCUGGGCAUUUUCCUUAAUAGUUCUUUACCUUCUUUGUUUGAGAUAGGACUCUCACUGAAUCUAGACCACAGCCAUUCAGAUGGGCGACAGGGAGCUCCAGGGACCCGCCUGCCUCUGCCUCCCUAGUACUGCGGUUAUGGACACGUGGCUAUACCCAGCAUUUUACAGGGGUGCUAGGGACUCACGCCUGCAGAGCCAAGGCCUCACUGUUCUGUCUCCCCAUCUCUUCCAUCUUUUGCUUUUGAUUGGUUAUUACCGUGUAACCCAGGCUGGCCUGGUACUCAAAGCAAUCUCCUGUCUCAGUGUUCGUGGAGCUGAGUGUGCAGGUCUGCCACCCUGCCUGGUUCCUCAGACCUUUUCUUGAGCACACUCCUGCUCCACGCCUUAGUGUUCUAGCCUUUCUCUUCGUCCCCAGUCCCUCCCAGUCUAUCAACAGAGGUGAGCUGG
rnacentral:lncRNA from 1 species